UCUCCGUUGGUGAACCAGCGGAGGGAUCAUUACAGAGUUGCAAAACUCCCACAAACCAUCGCGAAUCUUACCCGUACGGUUGCCUCGGCGCUGGCGGUCCGGAAGGCCCUCGGGCCCCCCGGAUCCUCGGGUCUCCCGCUCGCGGGAGGCUGCCCGCCGGAGUGCCGAAACCAAACUCUUGAUAUUUUAUGUCUCUCUGAGUAAACUUUUAAAUAAGUCAAAACUUUCAACAACGGAUCUCUUGGUUCUG
rnacentral:misc_RNA from 1 species